AAAAAAAAAAAAAAAAAAAAACAAGAAUGAGCAAAAGAAGCUUCUUGGGGGAUGGAACUACUCUUUCUUCUUCUUCUUCUCUCAUAAUCUCUGCCGCUGCUUCUGCUGCUUCUGUUCACCCACUCUACCAAAAGCUACUUUCUUCUCUGCUGACGACAAAGACGCAACAAAAUCAUCAUCGUCAUAAUUUUUGUCGCCGUUCUUGGUAUUCUUCAGAGAGUAAUAAAGAAGAAUUAGGAAAAGAAAUUGGAUA
rnacentral:ribozyme from 1 species